rnacentral:rRNA from 1 species
UACGUAGGGGGCAAGCGUUGUCCGGAUUCAUUGGGCGUAAAGAGCGUGUAGGCGGCCAGGUAGGUCGGUUGUGAAAACUGGAGGCUCAACCUUCAGAGGUCGACCGGAAACCAUCUGGCUAGAGUCCGGGAGAGGAGAGUGGGAAUUCCUGGUGUAGCGGUGAGAUGCGUAGAUAUCAGGAGGAACACCGGUGGCGAAGGCGGCUACCUGGACAGAAACUGACGCUGAGGCGCGAAAGCUAGGGGAGCAAACAGG